rnacentral:rRNA from 1 species
GACGAACGCUGGCGGCGUGCUUAACACAUGCAAGUCGAGCGGUAAGGCCCUUUCGGGGUACGACGAGCGGCGAACGGGUAGGAGUAACAACGUGGGUGGACCUCGCCCUCCAGCUCUGGGAGUAAGACCCGGGAAACCGUAGGGUCGUAAUACCGGAGUAUGACUCCACUGACGCAUGUUGUGGGGUGGGAAAGACCUUG